rnacentral:rRNA from 1 species
UACAGAGGUGGCAAGCGUUGUUCGGAAUUACUGGGCGUAAAGGGCGCGUAGGCGGUCUUGCAAGUCCCGUGUGAAAUCCCUCGGCUCAACUGAGGAAUUGCACGGGAAACUGCUUGGCUUGAGAUCGGGAGAGGGAAGCGGAAUUCCGGGUGUAGCGGUGAAAUGCGUAGAUGUCCGGGGGAACACCGGUGGCGAAGGCGGCUUCCUGGACCGACACUGACGCUGAGGCGCGAAAGCUAGGGGAGCAAACGGG